UGGUCGCUUCGACCUUCUGAAAUGAGUUCCAGCGGUCGAUGCCGCCAUGGGCAUUGAUGAUGUUGGUCAGCAGGUCUUUCAUGGCUCGCUCCAUCGUCAAAAGGCUGGACCAAGACCUACGCGGCGGAGAACUCGGCCAAAAUGACGUAUCUGCCUCGAAUUAGGUCAUCAGAACCGACGGAUCAGAUUACCUCUAUUUCCGUCUUUCUUUGGCGCGACAAAAAAACUUUC
rnacentral:misc_RNA from 1 species